AGGGGGGUGGGGAGGGGUGGGAACAGGCUUAAAAUAUCAGUAAGAAAAUAGGAAGAGGACUGAGCUAUCAUUGUCUGCAGGUUGUAACCUGUGUUUAUUGUUUUUUUAAGGGGUUAAGGUACAACUGCUGUGGCAUCCAGAAAAAGGAAAGCAUACUGACUGAUUCUUGUGUGUAAGAAGCAUUUCAGCCUAAGCUUAGUGAACUUCCCGGAAUGCUACCCUCGGCUGAUGGAAGCUGAGCUUGUGUUAGCCCCGGAAUCCUGCUCCAUAUGGAAAUUUCAGAAUUUGUUGAUUGUGGACAAUAAGCAGAGUCCUCCAGCUUUGUGCUUUUAUCCUGGUGGUGGCCCUCAAGAAUAAGCCGAGCACCCUGUUUCAUCUCAGUGCAUUUGCUUCCUUAAGAACAUCGUCUCAAACAGGUGUUGUGCCACUCCUGUGCUUUCACAUCCAGUUUAUCAUGAACCUCCGUGUACUCACGCUUCUGUGCCUGCCACACCACUGAAAGCGACCCGUGUCAGUCCAC
rnacentral:lncRNA from 12 species